rnacentral:rRNA from 1 species
UACGUAGGGUGCAAGCGUUGUCCGGAAUUAUUGGGCGUAAAGAGCUCGUAGGCGGUCUGUCGCGUCGGAUGUGAAAACUCGGGGCUCAACCCCGAGCCUGCAUUCGAAACGGGCAGACUAGAGUUCGGUAGGGGAGACUGGAAUUCCUGGUGUAGCGGUGAAAUGCGCAGAUAUCAGGAGGAACACCGGUGGCGAAGGCGACAUCCUGGACCGGCAUUGACGCUGAGGCGCGAAAGCCAGGGGAGCAAACGGG